AGGACGAACGCUGGCGGCGUGCCUAAAACAUGCAAGUCGAACGAGGUAGCAAUACCUAGUGGCGAACGGCGGAGUAAGACAUAAGCAACGUGCCCCGAAGUCUGGGAUAUACAGUCGAAAGACUGGGCAAUACCGGAUACGGCCACCAGAAGGCAUCUUUUGGUGAUUAAAUGGUUUUUCGCUCCGGGAGCGGCUUAUGGCCUAUCAGCUAGUUGGUGGGGUAAAGGCCUACCAAGGCAACGACGGGUAGGGGGUCUGAGAGGAUGAUCCCCCCGAGUGGGACUGAGACACGGCCCACACACCUACGGGUGGCAGCAGUUGGGAAUCUUGCACAAUGGGGGAAACCCUGAUGCAGCGACGCCGCGUGGAGGACGAAGGAUUUAGGUCUGUAAACUUCUUUUACCAGGAAAGACUUAGGACGGUACCUGGUGAAUAAGCUCCGGCUAACUACGUGCCAGCAGCCGC
rnacentral:rRNA from 1 species